rnacentral:rRNA from 1 species
UAGUAAUCGUGGAUCAGAAUGCCACGGUGAAUACGUUCCCGGGCCUUGUACACACCGCCCGUCACACCAUGGGAGUGGGCUGCAAAAGAAGUAGGUAGUUUAACCUUCGGGGGGACGCUUACCACUUUGUGGUUCAUGACUGGGGUGAAGUCGUAACAAGGUAGCGCUAGGGGAACCUGGCGCUGGAUCACCUCCUUAAACGAUGAU